UGGGGAAUAUUGGACAAUGGGCGAAAGCCUGAUCCAGCCAUGCCGCGUGUGUGAAGAAGGUCUUCGGAUUGUAAAGCACUUUAAGUUGGGAGGAAGGGUUGUAGAUUAAUACUCUGCAAUUUUGACGUUACCGACAGAAUAAGCACCGGCUAACUCUGUGCCAGCAGCCGCGGUAAUACAGAGGGUGCAAGCGUUAAUCGGAAUUACUGGGGGUAAAGCGCGCGUAGGUGGUUUGUUAAGUUGGAUGUGAAAUCCCCGGGCUCAACCUGGGAACUGCAUUAAAAACUGACUGACUAGAGUAUGGUAGAGGGUGGUGGAAUUUCCUGUGUAGCGGUGAAAUGCGUAGAUAUAGGAAGGAACACCAGUGGCGAAGGCGACCACCUGGACUAAUACUGACACUGAGGUGCGAAAGCGUGGGGAGCAAACAGG
rnacentral:rRNA from 1 species